rnacentral:tRNA from 1 species
GGAGAGGUGCCAGAGUGGCCGAAUGGAACUGACUGCUAAUCAGUUGACCUGGUAACGGGUCCCAGGGUUCGAAUCCCUGCCUCUCCG